rnacentral:tRNA from 1 species
GCCGGGGUCGCCUAGCCUGGUCAAUGGCGCGAGGCUUAAGACCUCGUGGAUUAGUUCCUUCGUGGGUUCAAAUCCCACCCCCGGCA